rnacentral:rRNA from 1 species
GGGGAACUUGAGUGCAGAAGAGGAGAGUGGAAUUCACGUGUAGCUGUGAAAUGCGUAGAGAUGUGGAGGAACACCAGUGGCGAAGGCGACUCUCUAGUUCUGUAACUGACGCUGAGGCGCGAAAGCCUGGGGAGCGAACAGGCAUUAGAUACCGUGGUAGUCCACGCCGUACAACGAUGAGUGCUAAGUGUUAGAGGGUUUCCGCCCCUUAGUGCUGCAGCAAACGCAUUAAGCACUCCGCCUGGGGAGUACGGUCGCAAGACUGAAACUCAAAGGAAUUGACGGGGGCCCGCACAAGCGGUGGAGCAUGUGGUUUAAUUUGAAGCAACGCGAAGAACCUUACCAGGUCUUGACAUCCUCUGACAACCCUAGAGAUAGGGCUUCCCCUUCGGGGGCAGAGUGACAGGUGGUGCAUGGUUGUCGUCAGCUCGUGUCGUGAGAUGUUGGGUUAAGUCCCGCAACGAGCGCAACCCUUGAUCUUAGUUGCCAGCAUUCAGUUGGGCACUCUAAGGUGACUGCCGGUGACAAACCGGAGGAAGGUGGGGAUGACGUCAAAUCAUCAUGCCCCUUAUGACCUGGGCUACACACGUGCUACAAUGGGCAGAACAAAGGGCAGCGAAGCCGCGAGGCUAAGCCAAUCCCACAAAUCUGUUCUCAGUUCGGAUCGCAGUCUGCAACUCGACUGCGUGAAGCUGGAAUCGCUAGUAAUCGCGGAUCAGCAUGCCGCGGUGAAUACGUUCCCGGGCCUUGUACACACCGCCCGUCACACCACGAGAGUUUGUAACACCCGAAGUCGGUGAGGUAACCUUUUGGAGCCAGCCGCCGAAGGUGGGACAGAUGAUUGGGGUGAAGUC